UUGGUCUUAGCCUAGUGGUUACCGCAACAGACUCCAAAUAUGUUUCUCUUGGACUUGGCAGGUUCAAAGCCCGCAGACCACA